CUCUCAGACUCACUUUCCCUUUUCUCGCUCUUCUCUCUCACGAACGAAUGCGGCGGCGACUCCCUUUCCUUCUCCGACGAUAACUCGGCGUUUACAACCAUAAAAAUGGCCGCGCUGCAACAAACCGAACGUCCUCUCCCCGAUUCUCUCUCGUUUCACCCCCGCUCAUACCUCAGCCAAUCAAAACCUUUCGUCUCGGUCAAGAACCCUAGCUGGAGUGGCGCACAAGGUUGAUAUUCGAAGAAUUUCGGCACUGAGGCGAUAUUCUUCCGAGAUUGAUGAGAUAUGCGAACUGAAUGUAGAGGAGUAAUGAAAUUCUUCAGAUAGUAUGUCGACGAGAUAUUGGGAGAAGAAUACGAAUUGUGCCGAAUUGAUGAUUCUUGGUUGAAGGUUGAGGUAUGGUUGAAGAUUGUUGAUGGAGAGUGAAUGAUGAUGAGUGAAGCUAUGACGAAUGAUGAAGAUUGAAGAAUUGGUGGAGAAUGGUGAAAAUGGUGGAGGAAACUGAAAAAUGGUGGAGCUGUUGAAUAUAUAGGUUGAUGGAGGGAAGAGAAGUUAGUUAUAGAGUGAAGAGAUCUCAGCCCUUGAUUGAGUAGGUUUGUUACACAAUGGAUGGAGAGGAUUGAAUCUGUUUCAGAGGGCUGUUUCGACUGAAAAUGGUGUAGGGACUGUUUUCUUUUUGAACUGUUUAGACUUAGCGGGAUAGAAGAGCCUUGAGCCUUACACUUGAAGCAUGGUUGAAAGUUGGAAGACACGUGGCUUGGAACUUGAAGAAAAGAUAUGUAAUACGGAAUCAAAGAGGCCAACACAAAAUCGAUGGGAGUUUAGGAUUGGAGACAGUAGGCUAAGGGCACAUUUUGUGUAGUUUGUCUUGAUGGUGUAAUAUUUGGAAAUGUUUAUAUUGGAAAUGGCCUUGUACUGAAAUAGAUUUGAAACCCAAAAUAUGUAAUAGUUUAUCUUGUAAUUGGAAUAAAACUUUGA